rnacentral:tRNA from 1 species
GGACUUAAAUAUCCGUCGACUUUUUAAAUCAUGAGGGUUCAAGUCCCUCUAUCCCCA